rnacentral:misc_RNA from 1 species
UUUAACAUUUAAAAAUAUAUUAGUUAAUAAACUCAAAUUUGAAUCUACACUUCUCUAAUUCUCAUGAAAAAAAUUAUUGGGCCUUAAAGAUCGGCCAAAUGGUUCAAUCUCUCUUUGGGUACUAGCAGGGUUCGCAAGAGAAGUGCCAGUAAGACCAUUUGCAGCAGAUUCUUUCCCUUCUGAGACAGAAGUUGUCUUCUGAGCAUGGUCAUUAUCCGGUGAAACUUGCUGGCAUGGGUAUCCUUUCACUGCUUGUUCUUUCCCACCAAAACCAAGUGAAUUCAUGGAACAUGCACCAGAUUCAGAAGGACCAUUCCUUACCAUUUGCACAGCAUGACCUUCUAGCUUCUGUGGUACAGAGGAAGUUGCUUCUGAAUCAUUAUUAGAUUGAAUGUUGGGCUUAAACAUAUUGGAUGAAGCCUUAAAAGCCUGCACACCAAAUGAACGUUGCUGUGUUGAAAUGUUGGUCCAUACAGGAGCCGACGUUCUUGCAGACGCAUACUCCUGUGAUUUGCCAGAUACAUUAGAACCCUGAAGAGCUGGCACAGCUUCCAAAACAGGAAAUUGCUGGGCAGAAUCUUUUGCGCCAUUUUGGUUGUUAUUACUGAACUGAUGCAUCUCACCAGAGGAAGUAACAUCAUUAUGUGAAGUAAUUCUAGAGUCGUCUGGCAAUGAAGCUAGUGCUGACUGACCACUUCGAGCUCUCUCAAAAGAUUCAGUCACCUGUUUUGACUGAGAUGUAAACCCAUCAAAAUAUGCAUUGACAGACUGACUGUUUGUUGCUCGUGCGCCCAUAUCGUACAUGUGCUGAUUUUGACUAUGACUUCUUGAAUAAGGAAAUCCAGGGGAAAGAGCAGCAGAAAAAUUUCCCUGGGCAGUCUUGCCACUUUGUCCUGAGAUACCACAAAUAUUAUUCCUCAAUUCUUCUUGAGAUAUUUCACAAGAAAGAGGAAAGCCCUGAACAGAGGUUGUGGAAGCCAACCAUUUAUGACCCUUCUCCCCUACUUCAGAAGUGACACAAGUUGAACUGAUGGAGUUAUUUUUCUGUGAGGGGCUCUGAGAAGAUAGGGCAUGCUCUUGACUAGGCAAGGGUUGAGAUGGGGGAACAAGUUGAAAACCAAAAACUUGAGAAGCGGAAGUCUGAUUUUGUUGGAGUUGAACAGAUCCAUCAGAAUUUUUUACAUCAUGCAUCUCAGAAGACUGAUUGCAGUUAGAAGAGGCGAAGUGUGUUGCAUUUCCACACUCCCUUGAUUGGUCCACCUUAUGAAGAAGCUCAAGCAUAUUUUGACUUGAGGGUGUUGCCUUGCUUGUUGUGUACACAGCUCUGUCAAAGGAAGCAGAUGUACUAGGUGCUGAACCUGCAACUAUGUUUUUCACAUUUAUCCCAUCUAAACCUUUUGUUUCUCCUUGACCCGGAAAAUGAAGCUUGUCAAUUUCCGUAGAAUUUCUAGCUAUCUGAGUAGGAAAUUUUGAUUGCCCAAUACCCCCAUGAUCAUGACCUUUAAACCGUUGAGAAAUCUGCAUUGGCAUGGACUGUGAAUGUUUGAGAUGUUUUGUUCCAUAAGAAGGUUCAACAUCAGCAUCCAGAUCCCCCAUAGGAUGAUACUGAAAUUUACGGACUCCUGAGGGCUUUCGGCCAAUAUGAAUAGAUGACUUUAGUUUUCCUCCACACAAAGUAGGUGAAUCAUUUGCAUCUAGCCAAGUUUUUUCUCUGGCACCACUAGUAGAAGUAUGGUGGGAUACAGUGAUAAAGCUAUCAGUUUUGCUUUCUUUUGUAUCAGGGUAAUCAUGAGUUUCAAUUGCACCAUUGCCCAAACUAUUGUUUCCUGUUAAAGUUUGAUGACUCUUAUCCAUAUGAGGCUGGUAUUUUCCUGGAAACUCACGUCCUUUAGUGUUGACUGAAGAACCAAUAUUUUUCCAGAUAUCAAUAUUAUUACCAUUGGGAAGCUGCUGGCUGUUUUCCUCGUUAGCCCUUACAGUGCUUGAAUCAGGCAAUGCAGCAACAUUAUUCAGGUUAGAAUCUUCUCUAUUAACUUGUGGGCUUCCAGUGGCGGAUUUUGAACGCUCCAAUUCAACAAUUGAAUUAGAAACACUAUCAGUCUUCCAUGUACCAGCACCAUAGCCCAUUACCUCAAACAUGGGACUCUUGAGCUCAGUCAUCUGAGAAGUUUGCAAUGUGUUCUCAUUACCCUGGUUCUUCAAAACAUUACCUGUGCCUAGCGGCAUAGAAUCAAUAAACUUCCAACCAUUUGGUCUAAUGCCUGGUUGGCUACCAUUACUAUAAGAGGAUAUGCUCUGUUGAUUUGCCCAAGAACCUGAAAUGUUCUUUGCAUUUGAUUCUGCAUCUGAGGCCUGAACACCUUCAUAACUAUGGCUGCCUUCAGAAACUGGCUUUCGUAAAGGAUUGCAAUCCAACCAUUUGGUUCCCUCUCCAGAAAAUGGCUGAACAAAUCUUUGAGAAGAACCAGUAUGCAACCUCUCUCGCCAUUCAUGUGAUAUAUUCGCUCCAGAUUGCUUAACCCCAGGCAUAUUGUUAUAGUUGAUACUUGAGUUCACGCCAUCACACAUAUUAUAGGGUAUAGGAUUUGGCAUGGAGGCAACCUGCAAUCUGUUAGUGUUGUCAACUCCAGUGGAUUGCUGUUUCCCACUAUCACUCAUAGUUGGGGUCUGUUGAUUCUCAGCUGGGGGUUCACUACACUGGAAAGUCAGACCUGUCCACUCUUCUUGCAGUCCUGUAUCAGCACUUGACGUUUCUGCUACAGCCGACUGCAUAAGAGCACUCCAACUCCCACUUUGCACAGAAGGAAAUGCACCAAGAAAAUCUAUGCCAUCCAACAUAUUAAAACCUCCAGCUCCAUUGUUGGUACCUCUGUCAAAAGCUUUCCACAGAUUAUCAUCUGCACCAAACAAAAUCCUUUCUUCAGUUGGGUCUAGGGUAGCCACAUUCUGUGAAGGGGCAACCCGCAUUGCUGUCUUCUCCAGUGAUGUUUCUGAUGGACCACCUAGAUCUUGCCUCCCAUGAAAAUCCAGCCCAGGCCCAUUGCUUUGAUGGGGAUCUACUUGCUGCAAGUUUUCCAAAUCAAAUCCACCAUCUAGGCCUUGGCUAUCAGCAGUCCCUAACAUAUUUUUUCCCUGAUAUCCCUGCCUGGAAGAAAAAGUACCAUCCUGCAUGCUAGCUGGGUCUGGAAACCCAGCAUAUUGAUUACCUGAAAAGGGAUUACUGCUGCCUGAUAUCUGCUGUAUUGUGGACUUAUCCAUUUGGACAGGAGAGUAUUGGCUUGGACCAACUCUUGUUCCAGAGAUAGGAACACCAUAAAGCGAUUGAUCAACCUGCUGAGGAAUCAUUCCUGCCAAGGGCGGUGCCCGGCCAUGCUCAGGGGAAAACAUUAACCCACUAGAGGAUCCUUGCAUAGCCGGAGACAUACCACGCUGUAGCCAGUUUGUAUUAGCGGCCAUAUGAUCAGGCUGCCACGAAUAAUUAGAUGCAUCAUGCAUAUGAAUCCCAUUGACCAAAGUUGAUGGAUGACUGCCCGCAGCCUGUUUUGCGAAAGAGGAAACCUGAUUUACAGAAUUCAGUUGCCUUACUCCUUGUUGCUGCAAUUGGUGUUUCUGAUGCUGUUGCUGCCUCUGAAUUUCUUGCAUUUGCUUGAGCAUGACCUGUUGCUGUAGUGGCUGCAUAUCUCUAAUCCCUGACUGCAGUCUUGGUAAAGAUUGCAACAUGCCAGGAUGCUGGCUGCUCAUUUUCUGUUGACCUCCCAAAAAAUCAAAAUUAACAGGAGAUUCAUUAAAAUCCAUCGUUGCUGAAUUGUUCUUGUGAAGUGCAGGACCACUUCCUAACUGUGCAUCAAGAAUUGAAAAGCCUCUUGAUGUUAAAUUACAUCGAUCAGGUUCCGUAUCCACUCCCAAAAAGUUUGCAUCAUUCUGCCUUGUCUGGAAAGCCUGAUUCCCAUGCAUAUAGCCAUUCAAAGUUGGUUGUUGGUUUUGAGAUUGACUUCUAGCAACCUCAGGCCUCAGAAUUGAUUGAGAAAAAUUCACACCAUGCUGCGCACUUGAUGACUGUUCCCCAUGUCCUCUCUCAGAAUCAGCUGAUUGCUGUAGAGAGUGAUUCUUCAAAUUAGAAAAAGGUGUGCCAAUUUGUCUCUGACCACCAGCCCACGGAUUGUUACCUAGCACAGGCCAGGUCCCAUCAACAACCUCUGAGUGGUGCUGGCCAGGAGAGCCAUGAGACAAGUUCCCCUGGCCAAAGAAAUUAUGGAUCCUAUCUCCAACUUCGUUGCCAGGCAUAGAAUCCAACACACAAAUUGUCAGCAGCUAAAAUUUUGUGGCAGGAAUAUCAAUACCUCCUUUCUGCUCAUUUACGUGUCACUCCAACCGCCAUGUUCAAGUCAUUCAGAAUCUCAUUGGUUUCGCCCUGACGCCUCCGUUUGAACUCGAAACAGAUCUUCUAAAACUGUGAAUUUGUUAAAUAACUUAGGGUUUGAAUCAAGAGAUGCAGAAAGAAAUAGAGUAAUGAGCCGUCUCUAACCUCAGAAGAGAUAGAGAGAGAGAGAGACAGAGAGAAUGGCCAAAAUGCGUAACUGGGGUUUAUAAAGAGCAGGUUUAAGGAGACCCUAAUUUGUUUUGAAAUUGAAUCGCCUGCUGUGUGGUGCACAGAAUUGAGCUGAUCUGGAUCAUGUAUCUAGUUGUUACGGUGAAUGAUUGGUUUG